ACAGCAGUAGCCGCGGGAAUACGGAGGGGGCUAGCGUUGUUCGGAAUUACUGGGCGUAAAGCGCACGUAGGCGGCUUGGUAAGUUAGAGGUGAAAGCCCCGGGCUCAACCUAGGAAUGGCAAUGGAUACUGGCGAGCUAGAGUGUGUCAGAGGAUGGUGGAAUUCCCGGUGUAGCGGUGAAAUGCGUAGAGAUCGGGAGGAACAUCAGUGGCGAAGGCGGUUCUCUGGGAAUUACCUGACGCUGAGGAGCGAAAGCAUGGGGAGCGAACAGGAUUAGAUACCCCCGUAGUCCCUGUCUCUUAUAA
rnacentral:rRNA from 1 species